rnacentral:rRNA from 1 species
UACGAGGGGGGCAAAUGUUGUUCGGAAUCACUGGGCGUAAAGGGAGCGUAGGCGGGUUUUUAAGUCAGGUGUUUAAUCCCGGGGCCCAACCCCGGACAGGCACUUGAAACUGGGAAUCUUGAAUAGUGGAGAGGUCAGUGGAAUUCCUGGUGUAGCGGUGAAAUGCGCAGAUAUCAGGAGGAACACCUAUGGCGAAGGCAGCUCGCUGGGACGGUACUGACGCUGAGGCGCGAAAGCGUGGGGAGCGAACAGG